UAUUUAAGUAGCUUAUAUUUAGAGCCUAGUAUUGAAGAUACUAUAGAAGUAGUUUACUCUUAAAU
rnacentral:tRNA from 1 species